rnacentral:misc_RNA from 1 species
AACUUUUAACAAUGGAUCACUUGGCUCUCGCAUCGAUGAAGAACGCAGCGAAUUGCGAUAAGUAAUGUGAAUUGCAGAAUUACGUGAAUCAUCGAAUCUUUGAACGCAUAUUGCACUCUCUGGUAAUCCGGGGAGUAUGCCUGUUUGAGGGUCAGUAAAAUAAUAAUUAUCAUAAAUCUUUGAUUAUGGAAUUGGGCUUUUAUUUCAAAAUAGAUUUAUGGCCUUAAAUUUAUGUUAUGGGCUUGUGUAUUAUAUAAAAUUUGAACUAAAUGGAGCAAUUAAACAUUCUCUCGUUAGACGAUUUUAUUCACAAGCUAUUACGAUUUUUUGGUUGCACAAAAGCACCUUUACAAGUGCUUGGCCAAGAUCGUAAGUUUACUCUAACAAAUGACCUCAAAUCAGGCAAGAAUACCCGCUGAACUUAAGCAUAUCAAUAAGCGGAGGCU